GGGGGUGGGUCUUCCCACCGCAGGUCAGAAAAUCCCUCACAGGCAUACCCACAGGCCAGCACAGCCCAGACUGUCACUCCUUGAGACUGUUGCUCCAGAGCCAAGGAGAAGAGGCGGGGCUGGAACUGAGGUAAGAUUGGAAGUGAUGAUAGCUCCUUCAGCUAAUAAUCCACAGCUCCUAUACGCCAGGUGCAAGGGGGUUAACUUACUCUCCUGCACCUUCACCAUGGGGCAAGGUUUUGCCAUGGAAACUGCAUCAUUUCCAAGAACUAGAAGAAAUGUCUACCCUCGUCACUCUGAACUUAUCUUUCUAGUCAAUACAUCUUCAGACUCCACUAUAGACUUCCUUAUCUGCUAGUCAUUUAUCAAAGGAAAAUAAAUGAAACAAAGAACUAAGUAGCUGAGAAACGUUCCACACAAGCAUAUCACAAAAACAAUAAAGCAUCCCACUUCAAAACAUA